rnacentral:rRNA from 1 species
UGGGGAAUCUUGCACAAUGGGCGAAAGCCUGAUGCAGCGACGCCGCGUGGGGGAUGAAGGCCCUAGGGUCGUAAACCCCUUUCAGCAGGGACGAAGAUGACGGUACCUGCAGAAGAAGCACCGGCUAACUCUGUGCCAGCAGCCGCGGUAAUACAGAGGGUGCAAGCGUUGUUCGGAAUUACUGGGCGUAAAGCGCACGUAGGCGGCCCACUCAGUCAGGUGUGAAAUCCCCCGGCUCAACCGGGGAACGGCAUCUGAUACUGGUGGGCUCGAGGACAGUAGGGGUAAGCGGAACUCCAGGUGGAGCGGUGAAAUGCGUAGAUAUCUGGAGGAACACCGGUGGCGAAAGCGGCUUACUGGGCUGUGUCUGACGCUGAGGUGCGAAAGCUAGGGUAGCAAACGGGAUUAGAUACCCGGGUAGUCCCUGAGCGGGCUGGCAAGGCGCAU